GGUCCCGUGGUGUAGUGGUUACACGUCCUCUGUUUGUGCAGCUGUCUUAGAAGAUGUAUGAGGAAAUUCCCUGUUCGACUCAGGGCAGAGCCA